AUGAGGAAAUGGAGAAGGUCAAGGGGUUCCCGGUGGACAACAACGUGCCCUACACAGAGAGGCUGGAAAUUUUACGAAUAUUAUGAACACCAAGACCUACAGCUUAGUGCAGCCGACGGGAGGCUUGUGCAGACCUACAACCAGAAGCCAGUGUUGUCUAUACCCGAGCACAAAUUCUACAAGGGAUUGAACUAAUUUGAGAUCGAUAUCGACGUGCACCAGUUCAAUUACAUAUCGUGAAAGGGCUUCGAGACCUUCCGAGAGCAGCACAAACAUGGCACCAUUGAUCUUGAUCUAACCAUUCAGGUACUUAAGUUUCCUUCUGUUCUUGGCCUUGGCACCACUUGGCAUGAGGAGUAUUUUGUUCAGAGGAAGUCUAAUGUCUGA
rnacentral:rRNA from 1 species